GCAGCGGUGUGGGGACGCUCUGCUCAGCUGUGGGGCUACAGACGGCGGGACGCCCUGACCGUGUCCACCAUGGCCUGGUCCCCUCUGCUCCUCACCCUGGUCGCUCUCUGCACAGGAUCCUGGGCCCAGGCUGUGCUGACUCAGCCGCCCUCCGUGUCCGGGUCCCUCGGCCAGAGGGUCUCCAUCACCUGCACUGGAAGCAGCAGCAACAUCGGGGGUGGUAAUUAUGUGAGCUGGUACCAACAGCUCCCAGGAUCAGGCCUCAAAACCAUCAUCUAUGGUACUAGCAGUCGACCCUCGGGGGUCCCGGACCGAUUCUCCGGCUCCAGGUCUGGCAACACGGCCACCCUGACCAUCAGCUCACUCCAGGCUGAGGACGAGGCCGAUUAUUACUGUGCAAGUUAUGAAAGUAGCAGCUAUAAUGGCACAGUGCUCCAGGCCAGGGGGGAAACUCCAGGAAGAACCAGGCUCCGGGGUCCCCGCGGAUUUUCUGGAUCCAAGGAUGUCUCAGCCAACGGAGGGCUCCUCACGUCUCUGGGCUGCAGCGUGAGGACGAGGCUGACUCUGACCGUGCAGGCUGGUGCAACAGGGCUCCGCACAGCGACACAGGUAGACGGGAAACUGGGAUGA